UACGGAGGGUGCAAGCGUUAAUCGGAAUUACUGGGCGUAAAGCGUGCGUAGGCGGCUUGUUCAGUCAGAUGUGAAAGCCCCGGGCUUAACCUGGGAACUGCAUUUGAUACUGGCAGGCUAGAGUUUAGUAGAGGGGAGUGGAAUUUCAGGUGUAGCGGUGAAAUGCGUAGAGAUCUGAAGGAACACCAGUGGCGAAGGCGGCUCCCUGGACUAAAACUGACGCUGAGGUACGAAAGCGUGGGUAGCAAAC
rnacentral:rRNA from 1 species